rnacentral:rRNA from 1 species
AAUGAACGCUGGCGGCGUGCCUAAUACAUGCAAGUCGGGCGAACUGAUUAGAAGCUUGCUUCUAUGACGUUAGCGGCGGACGGGUGAGUAACACGUGGGCAACCUGCCUGUAAGACUGGGAUAACUUCGGGAAACCGAAGCUAAUACCGGAUAGGAUCUUCUCCCUCAUGGGAGAUGAUUGAAAGAUGGUUUCGGCUAUCACUUACAGAUGGGCCCGCGGUGCAUUAGCUAGUUGGUGAGGUAACGGCUCACCAAGGCAACGAUGCAUAGCCGACCCGAGAGGGUGAUCGGCCACACUGGGACUGAGACACGGCCCAGACUCCUACGGGAGGCAGCAGUAGGGAAUCUUCCGCAAUGGACGAAAGUCUGACGGAGCAACGCCGCGUGAGCGAUGAAGGCUUUCGGGUCGUAAAACUCUGUUGUUAGGGAAGAACAAGUACGAGAGUAACUGCUCGUACCUUGACGGUACCUAACCAGAAAGCCACGGCUAACUACGUGCCAGCCGCCGCAGUAAAAC